CAAAGUUUGAUUUUUUUUUUCUAUGGCCUCGUUCUAAAAAUAGGGAAUUGCAAAAAAUGCUGAGUAAUCUGCAGUUGAAUAGUUCGUUUACUAUUUUGAAACAUCAGCUAUAGGUACUCAAGAGCCUACGGAUAUUACAGAUCAUCGCGUAGGAGUUAGUUUAUAACCUGGAGUCCCGGGAGCUCUAAGAAGAAUUGCCAUGGAAGAGAAGUUGAAAAUUAUCCAGCUGCAAUCAGCAAAUUCCAACUCAAAAACACAUCAAAAUAGUACAAGCGUGGCAAUUGUGUGUUGAGUUGACUAAUUUAUUGUAAAAUAA